rnacentral:rRNA from 1 species
ACGGGUGCGGAACACGUACAGAACCUUCCUUUAAGUGGGGAAUAGCCCAGGGAAACUUGGAUUAAUACCCCGUAAUAUUAUGAAGCGGCAUCGCUUUAUAAUUAUAGCUCCGGCGCUUGAAGAUGGCUGUGCGGCUGAUUAGGUAGUUGGCGGGGUAACGGCCCACCAAGCCUACGAUCAGUAACUGGUGUGAGAGCGCGACCAGUCACACGGGCACUGAGACACGGGCCCGACUCCUACGGGAGGCAGCAGUAAGGAAUAUUGGUCAAUGGACGCAAGUCUGAACCAGCCAUGCCGCGUGGAGGAUGAAGGUCCUCUGGAUUGUAAACUUCUUUUCUCUGGGGCGAAAAAAGCUCAUUCUUGGGCACUUGACAGUACCAGAGGAAUAAGCACCGGCUAACUCCGUGCCAGCAGCCGCGGUAAUACGGAGGGUGCAAGCGUUAUCCGGAUUCACUGGGUUUAAAGGGUGCGUAGGAGGGCAGGUAAGUCAGUGGUGAAAUCCCCGAGCUUAACUUGGGAACUGCCGUUGAUACUAUCUGUCUUGAAUAUUGUGGAGGUAAGCGGGAUAUGUCAUGUAGC